rnacentral:rRNA from 1 species
UACGUAGGGGGCUAGCGUUGUCCGGAAUCAUUGGGCGUAAAGAGCGUGUAGGCGGUCCGGUAAGUCCGCUGUGAAAGUCGGGGGCUCAACCCUCGAAUGCCGGUGGAUACUGUCGGGCUAGAGUGCGGAAGAGGCGAGUGGAAUUCCUGGUGUAGCGGUGAAAUGCGCAGAUAUCAGGAGGAACACCGAUUGCGAAGGCAGCUCGCUGGAACGUUACUGACGCUGAGACGCGAAAGCGUGGGGAGCAAACAGG